CAUCUACUUAAAAUAGUACUAGGUGAUAAACUUACAAUCCUCACAUAGCCUCAAUCAUAACAUGUGGCUAGGCAAAUAUACGAACUACACAGUUAACUUAUACCGUGACGACAUACGACAGUUCCGAGACCGAAAUACAGGACAACAGGGCCUUUUUUAAGGAUUUUUCCGUGGGGGGGGGGGUAUUUUUUGAAAAGGGAUCUUAGAUAAUAUAUUAGAGGGGGAUAGCAAUGGCCGACGGCCACGGUGUGUGGUCGACAUACUCCCCCAGAAAAUGUUUUAAAUUUGAACCUUUCAAAUACCAUUUCCUGCUUUAUGAGCGUCUAAAUUUGCUCUAAAAUUUAUGCUAAUUAUACUUGUACUUGAAAUAAAAGAUGGAAAAAAUGCAGAAAAAAUAAAAGAAAAAUUUAUCCAUUACUUAUUAUUAAAGGAGGAUAGCAAUGGCCGUGGGUCACGUGUGUGGCCGACAUACCGCGAAUGAAUAGGGGGGUCUGGAGGCAUUAACUCCCCAGAAAAUGUCUGAAAUUUCAAGCCCAAAAAUGCCAUUUCCUGCCGUCUGAGCAUCUAAAUUUUCUAGAAUUUAUCCUAACUAUACUUCUAUUUGAAAUAAAAGAAGGAAAAACACACAAAGAAUUUAAAAACUAUUAACAAUAAUUUAUCAUUACUUAUAUGGUGUUAGAAACACGUAGGAUGCGCACGCGGUGACACAGUCCUUUAAAUCGAUUUUGUUAAACAAGGACAAAGGAUAAAGCCUAAAACGUACGUUCCGUUUAUCAAUUUGUUAUUCUUCGCUGGUUUGUUUGUAUAAAUUUAGGAAAAAGGGACUUUUCCUGGGGGGGGGGGGUGAAAGUGAGCCUCAGAACGUGCAUUUUCAUUUCCGAUCAGCCUGCAUCAGAGCAAAGUAUCCAAGCUUUCCUGGCGACGUUCUCGUUCCUCCAGACUUUCCUCCCCUUCUCAAGGUGGAGCACGUCCAAAGGCUUGCAGGAGAGUUCGGCUGGGUCCUUUAGAAACGUACUUGCCAACUUAAAUUGCUAACUUAAAAUCUGCGUAUUUUGAAGUAUUUUGUGUUUUGUUAGUUUUGCUUUGUAAGAUAUUUAAAAUAG